AGCGCUAAUCAAGCAUCAAACAACACGGCCUGCUAAGGUCUUCUGUUUCCGUCCAAAAUGGUAAGGGAGAAUCUUAGGCUCCUCUUUCUCUGAGACAAAAGGUUAUUAGGGAAACAACAUUUAAGCACACGUCGGUUCCUAAUUGAGCCAGGUCCUCUGUGUCCAUGCUCUUCGUGAGCGAGGAUCUUUGCCUCCAGGUUCUUAGGCACAUAACAUUUUAGCACAUGUCGGUUCCUAAUUGAGCCAGGUCCUCUGUGUCCAUGCUCUUCGUGAGCGAGGAUCUUUGCCUCCAGGUUCUUAGGCACAUAACAUUUUAGCACAUGUCGGUUCCUAAUUGAGCCAGGUCCUCUGUGUCCAUGCUCUUCGUGAGCGAGGAUCUUUGCCUCCAGGUUCUUCGGC